GCGGGAGUGAAAGAUGUCUGCUGCGCCUUUUGGGUGCAGAGGAAAGUCCGGACACCAUGGGCAGGAUACUUCCUAACGGGAAGCUGCAGCAAUGCAGAGCCAGCUCCACAGAAACAAACCGCGCAACGCCAAAACCUUGCUUGGAGAGAUACUUUCCGGAGCAUGGCUUUGGCGUUGCGCAAGGGUGAAAUGGCGGUGUAAGAGACCACCGGUGCCAUUGGUGACAGUGGCAGCCAGGAAUGCCUUAUCCGGUGCAAUGCCAAAUAGGGAAGCAUUGGUGUGCCCACACCGCUUCCGGGUAGGCAGCUUGAGCCAGAGCGUGAGCUCUGGCCCAGAGGGAUAGACAUCAAUCCCCAGUGGGGAUCACAGAAUCCGGCUUAUUGAGCUCCCGCGUGU
rnacentral:RNase_P_RNA from 1 species